GCAGCCAGCAGGUUCAACCUCUUUUCCAUUUCGCCCUGGCAAUGGUAGCUCCAUUUUGCAACAACAACAACAACGACAACGAUGUCAUGCGAUUAACCUGGCAGAAUUAAACAUUCAGCGCCAAGGAGGCUGAAAGUAAGGACUACCUACCCGAACAGCCUUCUAAUUCUCUGAUCUGGAUGUACCUGAUCGAUAUACAAGCUGGAUGGAGCCUGGAGCGUGUUUUCAUUCUAAAGAAAUCUUCAAAGGAGUGCCUCUGAUGCGCUCCUUUAGACUGUCUGUCUCCUGGCCACACACUUGACAAGGAUAAUGCAAAGGACAGCUCGCCGUCUUGGGUAUAUCCUUGUGUCACGGCAGUGAAACGCAGCUUGCGCUACACUUGGAUGUCGCAUAAAUUUGUGUCCUGCAACAGGACGGGGCAGACCAAGGCGUUGCAAGACUGGAGACUGCAGUGGCUUAUGUCCCUCGAGUCGCUGUCUCUUGGUCAAAUUUAUUUACUUUGUUAUUUAUUCUGUCAUUUAGCAAUGAUUUGAACAGCGUAACAGGGGC
rnacentral:sRNA from 1 species